GACGAACUGUCCUACCGUUGUUCGGAAUCACUGGGCUUAAAGGGCGCGUAGGCGGUCCGACAAGUCAGGGGUGAAAUCCUGCAGCUUAACUGCAGAAGUGCCUUUGAUACUGUCGGUCUUGAGGGAGAUAGGGGUGUGCGGAACUCACAGUGGAGCGGUGAAAUGCGUUGAUAUUGUGAGGAACGCCGGAGGCGAAAGCGGCGCACUGGAUCUCUUCUGACGCUGAGGCGCGAAAGCUAGGGGAGCAAACGGG
rnacentral:rRNA from 1 species